rnacentral:rRNA from 1 species
AUUGAACGCUGGCGGAAUGCUUUACACAUGCAAGUCGAACGGCAGCACGGGGGCAGCCCUGGUGGCGAGUGGCGAACGGGUGAGUAAUACAUCGGAACGUGCCCGGUCGUGGGGGAUAACGUAGCGAAAGUUACGCUAAUACCGCAUACGAUCUGAGGAUGAAAGCGGGGGACCUUCGGUCCUCGCGCGAUCGGAGCGGCCGAUGUCAGAUUAGGUAGUUGGUGGGGUAAAGGCCUACCAAGCCGACGAUCUGUAGCUGGUCUGAGAGGAAGACCAGCCACACUGGGACUGAGACACGGCCCAGACUCCUACGGGAGGCAGCAGUGGGGAAUUUUGGACAAUGGGCGCAAGCCUGAUCCAGCCAUUCCGCGUGCAGGACGAAGGCCUUCGGGUUGUAAACUGCUUUUGUACGGAACGAAAAGGCUCUGGCUAAUACCUGGGGCUCAUGACGGUACCGUAAGAAUAAGCACCGGCUAACUACGUG